CCUGUGGGCAUCCGCCCAGACAUGCCAUGUGUCAGUGUAGCCCACAGGCUGACUCCGUGGGCUGACGGAAGGGGUCCUGGGAAGGGGUGCGACUAGGGACCCAGGAGGGGCUAGAGGCUCUUCUCCAGGCCGAGGAGGAGGCUGCAGCAACUGGUCCUGAGUGAGGACGGCCUCAGAAGGAUUCCUGGACACUGGAGUCCCAAAGACGCUGUUGUCCUUGGAAGGGUCUGGCCUUUGUGUGAUGCAAACGUGGAAUUACUUAAUGCAGAAAGUCCGAGCAGUUUCCUUCUCAGAGCAGAGCGGUGUCCGGGGAAUAUGAUGUCUCGUCUAUCAUGCCGGAAUGCAUCAGCAGAUUUUAGGGAUGUUUCUAUUAUUAAAAGUGAAAAGCUAUUAAUUUAAACAAUGUCUGUGGUCUGUAUGUU
rnacentral:lncRNA from 1 species